rnacentral:rRNA from 1 species
UCAAGUGUCUUAAGGGCAUUUGGUGGAUGCCUUGGCAUGCACAGGCGAUGAAGGACGUGAUACGCUGCGAUAAGCGUCGGGGAGGUGCGAAUACCCUUUGAUCCGACGAUUUCCGAAUGGGGCAACCCACCUUAGAUGACUAGAAAAUCUGUUUUGUUGGAGCAACGCUGGAUGGGUUUACACCCAUACAGACCGCUAGGUCGUCGGCCCAUGUGGGCCGCCCCCGCGGAGCGCCAGCAUUCCUCUGGAAUGCGUACGGCGCGUGAGCGAGAACAGCACAGCUUUCUAGUCAUCAUAAAUAAGGUAUCUAACCUUGAAUACAUAGGGGUUAGAAGCGAACCUGGGGAACUGAAACAUCUAAGUACCCAGAGGAAAGGACAUCAAACGAGACUCCGCUAGUAGUGGCGAGCGAACGCGGACCAGGCCAGUGGCUUUUGUGAAUAAAGUGGAACGAGUUGGAAAACUCGACCGAAGUGGGUGAUAGUCCCGUACACGUAGAAUAGCAGAAGUCCUUGAGUAGGGCGGGACACGUGAAAUCCUGUCUGAACAUGGGUCGACCACGAUCCAAGCCUAAGUACUCGUGCAUGACCGAUAGCGAACCAGUACCGUGAGGGAAAGGUGAAAAGCACCCCGACGAGGGGAGUGAAACAGUACCUGAAACCGGAUGCCUACAAACAGUUGGAGCCCAAGGUUUGUCCUGGGUGACAGCGUACCUUUUGUAUAAUGGGUCAGCGACUUAGUGUAUCGAGCAAGCUUAAGCCGGUAGGUGUAGGCGCAGCGAAAGCGAGUCUGAACAGGGCGUUCAGUUCGAUGCAUUAGACCCGAAACCAAGUGAUCUAGCCAUGAGCAGGUUGAAGGUACGGUAACACGUACUGGAGGACCGAACCCAUAUCUGUUGCAAUAGAUCGGGAUGACUUGUGGCUAGGGGUGAAAGGCCAAUCAAACUUGGAGAUAGCUGGUUCUCCGCGAAAUCUAUUUAGGUAGAGCGUCGACCGAAUACCCCCGGGGGUAGAGCACUGGAUGGGCUAUGGGGACUCACCGUCUUACUGAUCCUAACCAAACUCCGAAUACCGGGGAGUACUAGUCGGCAGACACACGGCGGGUGCUAACGUCCGUCGUGGAGAGGGCAACAACCCUGACCACCAUCUAAGGUCCCUAAGUUAUGGCUAAGUGGGAAAGGAUGUGAGGAUCCCAAAACAACCAGGAUGUUGGCUUAGAAGCAGCCAUCAUUUAAAGAAAGCGUAACAGCUCACUGGUCUAAAUAAGGGUCUUUGCGCCGAAAAUGUACCGGGGCUCAAGCCAUACACCGAAGCUGUGGAUGCACGUAUGUGCGUGGUAGCGGAGCGUUCCGUAAGCCUGUGAAGGGACAGUCGUGAGACAUCCUGGAGGUAUCGGAAGUGAGAAUGCUGACAUGAGUAACGAUAAAGGGAGUGAGAGACUCCCUCGCCGAAAGUCCAAGGGUUCCUGCUUAAAGUUAAUCUGAGCAGGGUUAGCCGGCCCCUAAGGCGAGGCCGAAAGGCGUAGUCGAUGGGAACCACGUUAAUAUUCGUGGGCCUGCAGGUAGUGACGGAUCGCGUGUGUUGUGAGGUCUUAUUGGAUUGAUCUUGCAGCGAAGCGGUUCCAGGAAAUAGCUCCUGCAUAUAGACCGUACCCUAAACCGACACUGGUGGACUGGUAGAGAAUACCAAGGCGCUUGAGAGAACUGCGUUGAAGGAACUCGGCAAAAUGCACGCGUAACUUCGGAAGAAGCGUGACCUCACUAUGGGCAACCAUAGGGGGGUGGCACAGACCAGGGGGUAGCGACUGUUUACCAAAAACACAGGGCUCUGCGAAGUCGCAAGACGACGUAUAGGGUCUGACGCCUGCCCGGUGCUGGAAGGUUAAGAGGAGAGGUGCAAGCCUUGAAUUGAAGCCCCAGUAAACGGCGGCCGUAACUAUAACGGUCCUAAGGUAGCGAAAUUCCUUGUCGGGUAAGUUCCGACCUGCACGAAUGGCGUAACGACUUCCCCGCUGUCUCCAACGCAGACUCAGUGAAA